rnacentral:rRNA from 1 species
UCAAGCUAAGAAGAGCACAGGGUGAAUGCCUUGUCACUGGGAGCCGAAGAAGGACGUGAUAGGCUGCGAUAAGCCACGGGGAACCGCGAAUAGGUUAUGAUCCGUGGAUUUCCGAAUGGGGAAACCUCAAUACCGGCAAGGGUAUUGACCGUAUAAUGAAUACAUAGUUAUACGGAGGGAACCGCCUGAACUGAAACAUCUAAGUAGGGCGAGGAAGAGAAAUCAACCGAGAUUUUGCUAGUAGCGGCGAGCGAACGCGAAAGAGGCUAAACCGGGAGUAGUAAUAUUUCCGGGGUUUUGGACAGCACAAUCCACGCGAAGUUGUAACUGAACUGUAUGGGAAGACAGACCAGAGAAAGUGAUAGUCUUGUAAGUGAAACGACGGAGCGGGAGGCUGAAUCCGGAGUAGUGCGGAACACGAGGAAUUCCGUAUGAAGACAGGGGGACCACCCUCUAAGCCUAAAUACUACCCAGUGAGCGAUAGCGAAGAAGUACUGUGAAGGAAAGGUGAAAAGCACCCCGGGAGGGGAGUGAAAAAGAACCUGAAACCUUGUGUUUACAAGCACUCAAAGCUCGUCAAGGAGCGAUGAGGUACUUUUUGUAGAACGGUCCGGCGAGUUAAGGUAUGCAGCCAUGGUUAAGUACUCAGAGGUACGGAGCCCAAGGGAAACCGAGUGUUAACAGCGCGAACGUUGCAUGCUUUAGACCCGAAACCGGGUGACCUAUCCAUGAGCAGGUUGAAGUGAAGGUGAAACUUCAUGGAGGACCGAACCGACCCUCGUUGAAAAGAUGGCGGAUGACUUGUGGAUAGCGGAGAAAUUCCAAUCGAACUCGGAUAUAGCUGGUUCUCCCCGAAAUAGCUUUAGGGCUAGCCUCAUUUACACUGAAGUGUAAUGUAUUACCGGAGGUAAAGCACUGACCGGCCUAGGGGUCGAAAGAUUACCGAAGCCUAUCAAACUAAGAAUGCCGGAUAAUAUAGAAUGGGAGUCAGACAGUGUGAGAUAAGUCUCAUUGUCAAAAGGGAAACAGCCCAGACCUACAGCUAAGGUCCCUAAUGUAUGUUAAGUGGAAAAGGAUGUGGAAUUGCGAAAACAACCAGGAUGUUGGCUCAGAAGCAGCCACUCAUUAAAAGAGUGCGUAAUAGCUCACUGGUCGAGUGAUUCUGCGCCGAAGAUGUAACGGGGCUAAACAUACAACCGAAGCUUGGGAUAUAUCUUAAAGAUAUGUGGUAGGGGAGCGUUCUGUCAUAGGGAGAAGCGAUAGCGAAAGCGGUCGUGGACGAAACAGAAGUGAGAAUGCCGGAAUGAGUAGCGAGAAUUAUGUGAGAAUCAUAAUGGCCGAAAAUCUUAGGUUUCCGGGGGAAGGCUCGUCCACCCCGGGUAAGCCGGAGCUAAGGUGAGACCGAAAGGUGUAACCGAUGCACAUACGGUAGAAAUUCCGUAGCCAUCGAAAUUGUUAAGUAAGAGGACGCUUGGAGAUAGGAUAACCCCGCAGUUGGUGAUGGGGCGAAAGGGAUCGAAAUAUAGUAGAGAAGUAUCCGAUGCUCCGAGACGAGAAAAGUCUUAUGAAUUGAUUAGAUGACCGUACCGCAAACCGACACAGGUAGAUGAGGAGAGAAUCCUAAGGCCAGCGAGAGAAAGGUUGUUAAGGAACUCGGCAAAAUUACCCCGUAACUUAGGGAUAAGGGGAGCUCUCGAAAGAGAGCCGCAGCGAAUAAGCCCAGGCGACUGUUUAGCAAAAACACAGGUCUCUGCUAAAUCGAAAGAUGAUGUAUAGGGGCUGACGCCUGCCCAGUGCUGGAAGGUUAAGGAGAGAUGUCAGAGCAAUCGAAGCAUUGACCCGAAGCCCCAGUGAACGGCGGCCGUAACUAUAACGGUCCUAAGGUAGCGAAAUUCCUUGUCAGGUAAGUUCUGACCCGCACGAAUGGCGUAACGAUCU